UACGUAGGGGGCAAGCGUUGUCCGGAAUUACUGGGCGUAAAAGCGCACGUAGGCGGCUUUGUAAGUUAGAGGUGAAAGCCCGGGGCUCAACUCCGGAACUGCCUUUAAGACUGCAUCGCUUGAAUCCGGGAGAGGUGAGUGGAAUUCCGAGUGUAGAGGUGAAAUUCGUAGAUAUUCGGAAGAACACCAGUGGCGAAGGCGGCUCACUGGACCGGUAUUGACGCUGAGGUGCGAAAGCGUGGGGAGCAAACAGG
rnacentral:rRNA from 1 species